AUAUUUGAGUCAAUUGAUUUCACCUACCAAUCAUAUGAGAGGAACGCAACUCUAACGCAGAGCUUAAAACACUCUGGCCUGGUGCCGGAUUUCUGGGCUAUGAUUAUUUUAGAAAAAUACAUGAAGUCCACAUGGGUUUGUUUUUGAUGCGCUAGGUUUAACCAAUCAUUGAACUUCCACUUACCAAUGAAACAAGUUCUAGCCAAUCAGAUGCAAAGUAGGGCGGGUCUUUGCCGAAAUGUGAGAGUGGGG